GACGAACGCUGGCGGCGUGCUUAACACAUGCAAGUCGAACGGAAAGGCCCUUCGGGGUUCUCGAGUUGCGAACGGGUGAGUAACACGUGGGUGAUCUGCCCUGCACUUUGGGAUAAGCCUGGGAAACUGGGUCUAAUACCGAAUAGGACCACGCGCUUCAUGGUGAUUGGUGGAAAGCUUUUGCGGUGUGGGAUGGGCCCGCGGCCUAUCAGCUUGUUGGUGGGGUAAUGGCCUACCAAGGCGACGACGGGUAGCCGGCCUGAGAGGGUGACCGGCCACACUGGGACUGAGAUACGGCCCAGACUCCUACGGGAGGCAGCAGUGGGGAAUAUUGCACAAUGGGCGCAAGCCUGAUGCAGCGACGCCGCGUGAGGGAUGACGGCCUUCGGGUUGUAAACCUCUUUCAAUAGGGACGAAGCGCGAGUGACGGUACCUAUAGAAGAAGCACCGGCCAACUACGUG
rnacentral:rRNA from 1 species